rnacentral:rRNA from 1 species
GAUGAACGCUGGCGGCGUGCCUAAUACAUGCAAGUCGAGCGAACAGACGAGGAGCUUGCUCCUCUGACGUUAGCGGCAGACGGGUGAGUAACACGUGGAUAACCUACCUAUAAGACUGGGAUAACUUCGGGAAACCGGAGCUAAUACCGGAUAAUAUAUUGAACCGCAUGGUUCAAUAGUGAAAGACGGUUUUGCUGUCACUUAUAGAUCGAUCCGCGCCGCAUUAGCUAGUUGGUAAGGUAACGGCUUACCAAGGCAACGAUGCGUAGCCGACCUGAGAGGGUGAUCGGCCACACUGGAACUGAGACACGGUCCAGACUCCUACGGGAGGCAGCAGUAGGGAAUCUUCCGCAAUGGGCGAAAGCCUGACGGAGCAACGCCGCGUGAGUGAUGAAGGUCUUCGGAUCGUAAAACUCUGUUAUUAGGGAAGAACAAAUGUGUAAGUAACUAUGCACGUCUUGACGGUACCUAAUCAGAAAGCCACGGCUAACUACGUG